ensembl:lncRNA
UGACAGAAGCCGCGCUGCCCUGGGAAAGGCAGCAUUGCCCACACAGGGCCAGGUAUGAAGAAGGACACCCUCCAGGAGCUGAGGAUUUGGCGUCAACUCCACUGUUCUGCAGUUCCUUUUUGAACGCCCAGGCAGCCGGGCAGAGGAUGCUGUCUGCUCUCAGGCCUUUUGCCGCUCCGUGAGGACUCCCUGGAAACUAGGUUUCUCAGGAGGCACAUGAGCUUACUGCCCAUUAUAAAGUGUUUGGAUUCCCAAAUACAUGCAGGGUUCUUCUCGUGGAAUGCAACCUGUUGUCAGUGCACGUGCCACCUGGCCCUCUUCACAUCACCCUGUGGGAACUGGGGCUUAGGAAACAGAAGAAAAGGUGGAUUCUGUAGUACAAAGACGUUUCCAGUUUUGCAUCAUCUUCAGAGGAAAAGAAGAGUGAGGCUUCUCGAUCACCUGGCACUGUCUUUUUGUGCAUUUGUGUUGGCUAGCAUCACUGCCUCAUCCAGAAACUGGGCAGCACCAUGAGACUCCUGCUUCAUAACCCUGAUGGAGCAACCUGGGCCAGGUCUGGGAGGCAGGGGGGCGAACUUCCAGUCCUGCAUUGCAUGAUUGUAUACUGUUAUAACUUUUUACUGUUAGCUAAAUAACUUUACAAUAAAAAAGAUUUUAAAUACUGAAAAAUAAAAUGCAAUUCACAAUAAUGACAAAAAUAAGUUUACCAUCAAAUAAAGAGAAAGAAAAUUUUAGAGUCUGGUAAACACUGUGGUUGUUCAUCCCUCUCCUUUCCAUGUCUUAUAAAGAUUUUACUUUUUGUGUGUGUGUGUGUGGUCAGUGUGGGGGUUGUUGUUCGAUCCCUAAGUCAUGUCAGACUUUGUGACCCCAUGGACUGUGGCACACCAGGCUUCCCUUUCCUACACCAUCUUCCAAGGUUUGCUCAAACUCAUGUCCACUGAG